AUCUGCACGCCAACAUUAGAUACGGCUUUGGUAGAGGUUGUUGUGUUAGUAUUUCCAUGGGUGCUGUUAUGAGCCUAGUGAUAGUUUGACAAGGCUUUGGUAGAGGUUGUUGUGUUAGUAUUUCCAUGGGUAGUGUUAUGAGCCUAGUGAUAGUUUGACAAGGCUUUGGUAGAGGUUGUUGUGUUAGUAUUUCCAUGGGUAGUGUUAUGAGCCUAGUGAUAGUUUGACAAGGCUUUGGUAGAGGUUGUUGUGUUAGUAUUUCCAUGGGUAGUGUUAUGAGCCUAGUGAUAGUUUGACAAGGCUUUGGUAGAGGUUGUUG